UACGAAGGUGGCAAGCGUUACUCGGAAUUACUAGGCGUAAAGGGCAGGUAGGUGGUUUGGUAAGUCUAUUGUGAAAGCUCCCGGCUUAACUGGGAGAGGUCAAUGGAUACUGCCGGACUUGAGUAUAGGAGAGGUUACUGGAAUUCCCGGUGUAGCGGUGAAAUGCGCAGAGAUCGGGAGGAACACCAAUGGCGAAAGCAGGUAACUGGACUAUUACUGACACUCAGAUGCGAAAGCUAGGGGAGCAAACAGG
rnacentral:rRNA from 1 species